rnacentral:sRNA from 3 species
UCCUAGCCCCGAUUGAAGCAAUUGUUUGAGCUCUUUUUUAUUUUUCCCUUUAAAAAUAAAAAAAGCGAGUGCGGAAAGCGGGAAAUAGC